UACAUACACAUGCCUUUUCAAUUUAGUCCUAGUGCUUUUAUUUAUUUAUUUAUUUUUUGUAGGUUGGUGCUGAGAGAUUUGAUAAAGAAUAUGCAUAUGGCAUACAGCACAACUACGGAAAAGAAGGAAAGAGAAUGGUCACUGGAAUUGGCGUUUUGCAUUCUUUGUGGAGGCAAUUGUGAUGGUUCCAUUUGCUAUUCUAGGUUUUGUUAUAAAACCUUUACAGUUGAAAGGUAUAUGUUGUGUUAGUUUUAAUUUUUUUUUUAUGUAAUCUAUUACCAUUUCCUAGCUAUUCUUAACAACUUGUGGAUACAUGUUUUUACCCUGCUGGAUCAAAAAAAGCAUUGACUGGUACAGAGAUAGCUGUCAUAGAACUUAAAGAGAUUGAGAAGUUUAUGAGGAAGACCAAGGAUCAAGCAGGCAUGCAGGUUGAUGAAAACGAUUAUUCAUCAGAGGAAUCUUAUUGACAAACACUUUUAUUAGCAAUGGUGGAAAAUAGUUUGGGCUGCAUCAGAAGAUUUGAUUUUGUGUUUUUGGAAAUAUUUUGACAUAGGAUUUUGGUAAAUUAUUUAUGGAUUAAAUGUUUAGCAUCAAAAUAUUUGGUGUUGUGUUUUUGCAAAUAUUUUGAUAUAGGAUUUUAGUAAAUGACUUGUUGGUUAGAUGUUUAACAUUAAAAUAUUUGGUUGUAAUUUUGAAAAUAUUUUGACAUAGGAUU